CCUGCCCCUGACUGGAGGAUAGCCUCUCGAAAGAGAGAUUAAUAUUCCAUAACAUAUAUGAAGAGCAUUCUUUGUAUAUCAAAGCUCCGGCGGUCAGGGAUGGGCAUGCGGCUGAUUAGGUAGUUGGUGGGGUAAUGGCUCACCAAGCCGACGAUCAGUAGGGGGUCUGAGAGGAUGUCCCCCCACACUGGUACUGAGACACGGACCAG
rnacentral:rRNA from 1 species